rnacentral:rRNA from 1 species
UACGAAGGGGGCUAGCGUUGUUCGGAUUUACUGGGCGUAAAGCGCACGUAGGCGGAUCGAUCAGUCAGGGGUGAAAUCCCAGAGCUCAACUCUGGAACUGCCUUUGAUACUGUCGAUCUGGAGUAUGGAAGAGGUGAGUGGAAUUCCGAGCGUAGAGGUGAAAUUCGUAGAUAUUCGGAGGAACACCAGUGGCGAAGGCGGCUCACUGGUCCAUUACUGACGCUGAGGUGCGAAAGCGUGGGGAGCGAACAGG